AUCGACAAAACUUCCAUGAUUCUCGACACUAUAUUAUGCUUACAAAUUAUUUUCGAUGGAAUUUUUCCAUAACACAUUCAAAGGGUGAUUUUUGCAUGGAAUAUCCUUAACCCAUGAAUUUUAGUAGUGAAAUUAUGUCAUUAUCUCAUGUUUAACUUUUCCCAUGCUUUAACUCUUGAACCCAAUGUGUUUGAUGAAAUACUUAAAUAAUUGGAUUUUGAACAAUGACUAUUUAUUACAUGUUUAUAAUAAAAUUACAUGUUUACAAUGAAUUACCUCCAUGAAACUCUUAUGAAUUUCAAUCAUGUGUUACAUUUUCAAGAGUUUGAUAGAAAGAUCCCUAACAAGUUUGAAAGUUGAAGUAUGUUUAUCAAUACCUUGGUAAUUUAAUUUCGUUUCAAGUUAUGAUUUCAAUUGUUUUCACGUGAAAUGCAUUAUAGUAUGUUUUAAAUAUUGUAGUUUGCAUAUCAUGUUCAUGCGAUUCAGAAUAAAACCCUCAGUUUAUGAUUUGGUCAUGUGAACGUGCUGUCUUAUCAUGUUUAAAAUCACCCCCAUUUUAAAGUCUUGACCCCUAUGUGUUUGAUGAAAUAGGUAAGUGAAUAAUUAUGAAAAAUGAUUUCCUCCCAUGAUUCCAAAGCUUUCUUGUGUCCCUUUCAUUAUUGUUAUCGAGUCCUGGGGGUUAUGAAUACCCAAAAUUUAGCUGUUUACUUUGUCUUAGUAUUUUCAUAAUGGUUUCAAACACGUAUAAGGAUUAUUAAUUCAGCCAGUUAUCGUGUCAGUUAAACUUAGACCAGUUCAGUAAUCCGAGUCAGUUCCUUUUUUAGUUAAACUUUGUUCAGUCCUAUAAUCAGUGUCAGUUCAGUUAAGAGUAGGAUUCAGCACCGAGCAAACCCAGGGAUAGGGGUAUUACUGUUAGUUUAGGGUUUGACCCUUAGUAGUAAACCAUGAGUUACAGAACUACGUAGCUAGCGUAGAUUUGAGAUGUCUUCCUACUAGUUUAGGGUUGACCAUAUCUUAUAAGUCUUCCUAUUAGUUUAGAGUUGACAAGGUGUCUUCUUGCUAGUUUAGGGUUGAACCAACCAUUGUUAGUACCCAUGGAACGGUACUAGCACCCUUCCAACAGGGUCAUAGGUUAAACCCCUAUCAGCUCAAAUUUGUGGUAUGUCGGUUAGAUGAUACCUCCCGCAGUUUCAGUUUUAGUAAUCAAUCUAAUACUCAAUUCAGUUUUUCUCGACCAUAACAUACAGUUUAUCAUUUAUUCAGUUAUUAGAUUUUAGUAUUUUAGUUUACAGACUAUCUUAGAUUUUACAGCAUUCACGCAUGCAUAUCAAUUAUUCUGUUACCUCAUGCUACUCAUUUAGUUAGUUGUUACUCAUGCGCAUAACCCAUGCAUAACUGCCUAACCUCAUCUAGCAUACCUGUACAUUCAAAGUAUUGAUCGCAUACUAGUUUCCUACGCUAUGAUGUCUCAUAUUAUAGGUUCGGACGCUCAGGUUCCUGACCGCACUUAGACAUUCCAGCACUUCAGCAGUAGCAGUAGUGAGUCCUCAUAUUUUGAGGGCCAGUUAUGCUUAUUUUAGUGUUUUCAGUUUAGUAGUCAGUUGGUUCCUAUCCUAUCAACUCUUAUUCAGUUAGUUUUAUAGGCUUUUGGACACUUCAGGCAGGCAAUUUGUCAUUACUUUUAUCAGUUUUCAGACAGUUGUUUUCUGCUAGUUGUUUUCAAACUUAUGAUUCAAAAAUGAUUUAGUAUUUAAAUUCUUAUGGUGAAUUCAGUUAUGCCAUAAAUGUGUAUUUUGUUAUUAUUAUUCAGGGCUUACAAUAGGUACUAGCUCAUAGGUUAGCUUGUGGUCACUUAUGACUGUAAGCACCGUAUGGAGUCUAGGGUGUACUCCUGGGGCGUUACAAACUUGGCAUUAGAUCCUAAGAUUUUAAAGUUUCCUAGGAAGUCUAGAAUUCACGUUGAGUAGAGUCUUGUGCAUGGGUGUAAAGUGCGCUAUACUUAUGAACAAGAGGCUACAAAACAUUUUAUAAAGAGUUUUCCUUCUUUCAGUGUUCAUGUCGUGCAAAUGAGCAUGAGAUUAAUUUAAACUCUCUUUCUAAUUGAAUCUUCUUCCCAUUUAUAGAACAUACCUCCCAGAAAGACUAACGAAAUAAGAAAUAGAAAUCAGCCCGUACCUCCGCCCGUUCAGAAAGAUCCCCUGAAUGAGCAUGUUUUCCAUGCUGAGUUCAGAGCUACAUUCACCACUUCAACCCACUUAGUAACAACUCAAAACAAACAACAGGUUGCUAUCCCAUCCGAUCAGUGGCUAAUACCGCCGCAGCUAUAAUUUGGGAUUUCACUCGGAUGAAUCCUCCUUUAUUUUUGGGAUUCAAGUCUGAUGAGGAUCCACAUGAGUUUCCUGACAUGGUUUAGAAGGUUACUGAUAUUAUGGGUGUCCCUUCUAGUGACAGUGGAGAGUUGGAUGCUUAACAGUUGUAGGAUGUAGCUCAUACCUGGUAUAAGUAGUGAAAGGAGGAUAGAGGCACAGAUACAGGGCCUAUAGAGUGGGAGAUGUUUGCCAUGGCCUUUUUAGAUAGGUUCUUUCCUUUAAAGUUGAGGGAAUCUAAGGUGAUGGAGUUUAUUAAUCUAAAACAGGUUAGUAUAAGUGUUAAGGAGUAUUCGCUUAAGUUCACUUAGUUGGCAAGGUAUGCUCCUAAUGUGGUGUCUAAUAACAGGUGUAGAAUGAGUAAGUUUGUUUCUGUUGUAGCUGAUAGUGUAGUCAAGGAGUGUAGGACUGCUAUGUUGAUUAAGGAGAUUGACUUGUCUAGGCUUAUAUUCCAUGCUCAGCAGAUCAAGGAGAAGAAGGCUAAGGAGAAAGAGAAAGAGAGUAAGAGGGCUAGGACAGGUAGUUUUAGUUUUGCUCAGCCAGGGUUAGAGGGUGGUAAACAUUCUCAAUUCCAUCAGAAGUGUUCAUCCCCAACUCAAUAUUCAUCUAGUGCUCUAGUACCAAAGUUCAGGAAUGACGGUCGAGAUGGGGCACCAGGCUCCAAGACCCAUGGUAGAGGGAACAGUGGUCGUACCCAUCCGUUUUACGAUGAAUAUGGUAAGAAUCGUAAAGGUGUGUGUAGAGAUAGCUAUGAUGUGUAUUUUGGAUGUGGAGAGCCAUACCACAGAGUCAAAAAAAGUACUAAAGGUUGGUCAACGAAGUAAGCACAAUCGUUCAUUAGCUCCAAUAGGUCGCCCGACUCAGCAGGGUACCACUUUCCAUGCAAUCAGUGGUCAAAGACAGAACAGACUUUAUGGACUCCAGUCAUGACAUGAUUAGGAAAGUUCUCCUGAUGUGUUUACGGGUAUGGUACAAGCCUUUAAUAGUCUUGUGUAUGUUUUAGUAGACCCCGAAACUUCACUACGUUUUUGUAACCCUCUAAAUAGUGGUUAAAUUUGGUGUCAGUCCUUAUACUCUAGUAAAUCCCUUCUUAAUAUCUAGUACCACAGACUUAGAAUAAUGGCUUUAAGCUAAGGGGGAGAUGGUAGGAUGAGUAACCAAGUCAGGCUCUCAGAUCCUAGUAGUGAUGCCAGUAUGUGUGAAAAGUUGUAGGGAGGAAGAUGCCUGGGGCAUUCUUAUUUUAGUCUUUGUGCUUCAGUUAUCACGAUAUCUGCUCAUGCCUUACAUGUCAUCUCUAUGAUCAUAGCUCAUAUUUGUGCAUCUUAUAAAAAAUCUUAUAUUCUCUCAGUUCCUAGUAGAGUUCCAUUUUGCUCAGCAGUACGGAUCAUGUUCCAUAACUUUAUGAAAUCCAAAUUCAGGUCAUGCAGCUCAUGACUCAUGUACUCAUGUUUUACAGUAAGUUCAGUUCCAGUACUCAUGCUACACUCUUAAUGACCUGCAAAAUUUAGAUUCAUGUCAUGCAAGUCCUCAACUUAAACCUCUUUGAUGAAUUCAUGUCAUUGACCCUCUAUUCCUCAUACCUCAGUUUCAUAUUCCAGGUAUUCAGUCAUGAUUUAGUCUGUAAGUAUUCUGUACAUUAUCUUAGUCUUUCUUCAGUAUUUCAGCCUUGUUAGUAUAUUUCGGGUGACAUAAUAUCCCAAGGGAGAGAUGCACUAUAAUUCCCCAAGCUUUCAUGUACUAAACCUCCCAUCUUCUCUUUAUGUAACAAGAUCGUGCUUGAAGUAAUAGGUACUCAUAAGUUGACUCUCUUGUUUAUAUCUCAUCCUUAUAACCAUUCUCAUGUCAUGGACUGUAUCCAAGAAAAUUAGUUUAGUUCAUGAUAUUCAGUUCAUGUAUCAUAUUUCAGACCGAGAUAUGUUCUUAUGUUCCCAUUCAUGCAUGUUAAGUCUAUGAUAUCAGAUUCUUCAGUAUUCUCAGCAUAACCAAUGAGAGCCUUAUAACCAUUCUCAUGUCAUGUAAUGUAUCCAAGAAAAUCAAUUUAGUUCAUGAUAUUCAGUUCAUGUAUCAUGUUUCAGAUUGAGUUAUGUUCUCAUGUUCCCAUUCAUGCAUGUUUAGUAUAUGAUCUCAGAUUCUUCAGUAUUCUCAGCAUAACUAACCUCAUUCGAGGACAAAUGUUCCCAAGAAAGAGAUAUUGUAAUACCCCGUAGGCUUCUAAGCUAAAAAAUGGACUUUCACUCCUACGAGUGUAAACUCUAGUCCCUUGAUUCAUUCUUGGAUCCACAUUUCAUGAUCAUUAACCUAGUGUGAAGAAAUAUUAUGAGGUGGCAAAGAUAUUCAUAAGUGUCACUUAGAGCAAAUUGAACUAAGAGCCCUUGAUUCGGCUAAUUUUUGGUGUUCAAUUUUACAAGGAUCAUCUUUGAAUGAGUAUAACUUUAUGUAUAUGUUAAAUUUGUCAGAAUAAAACCCAUCAAAUUGUAGAUAAUAGAAUUACCUUUCAAACGAUACAAAUUUUGCUUUAAUCCAACACCCAAGCGAAAAGUUAUGGCUUUGCAAAGGGGCGUGCGUCGCCUAACAAUCAAGAACGUUCACCGAAAAGGGUUUGCCAUAGGAUGUGCGACGUAAACCUUAAGGUUUCCCAUAAAGUAUGUGACGCAAACCUUAAGGUUUUCCAUAGCUUGUGCGACGCAAACCCCAUGGCACAACGACCUAGAGAUUUCGUUUUUGAGUUAUUUCUCGGGAAACUAAGUCAUUUGACACCUCUUACACAUCCCUAAACAUAACUACAUGAUAUUUAUAGAUCCUAAACAUGUUUUAACCCUAAUAACAUCAUCAGUUUAUCAUCUAAAACACAAUAGGAGAAAAAAAAUUAGGGUUAGCACAAUCAAGCUCAAAGGUUCAAUCGUUCCACAAUUUCUCCAUCAUUAAGGUAUGUUAGAUGUUCAUCCACGGGUCCUUUUCAUCCAUGGAGUCCAAGAAUCCAUUUUCAAGUUUAAAGUAUUGAUCUUUACAUAUUAUUAAGAAUUAUAUCGACAAAACUUUCAUGAUUCUCGACACUAUAUUAUGAUUACAAAUUGUUUUCGAUGGAAUUUUUCCAUAACACAUUCGAAGGGUGAUUUUUGCAUGGAAUAUCCUUAACCCAUGAAUUUUAGUAGUGAAAUUAUGUCAUUAUCUCAUGUUUAACUUUUCCCAUGAUUUAACUCUUGAACCCAAUGUGUUUGAUGAAAUACUUAAAUAAUUGGAUUUUGAACAAUGACUAUUUAUUACAUGUUUAUAAUAAAAUUACAUGUUUACAAUGAAUUACCUCCAUGAAACUCUUAUGAAUUUCAAUCAUGUGUUACAUUUUCAAGAGUUUGAUAGAAAGAUCCCUAACAAGUUUGAAAGUUGAAGUAUGUUUAUCAAUACCUUGGUAAUUUAAUUUCGUUUCAAGUUAUUAUUUCAAUUGUUUUCAUGUGAAAUGCAUUAUAGUAUGUUUUAAAUAUUGUGGUUUUCAUAUCAUGUUCAUGCGAUUCAGAAUAAAACCCUCAGUUUAUGAUUUGGUCAUGUGAACGUGCUAUCUUAUCAUGUUUAAAAUCACCCCCAUAUUAAAUUCUUGACCCCUAUGUGUUUGAUGAAAUACGUAAGUGAAUAAUUAUGAAAAAUGAUUUCCUCCCAUGAUUCCAAAGCUUUCUUGUGUCCCUUUCAUUAUUGUUAUCGAGUCCUGGGGAUUAUGAAUACCCAAAAUUUAGCUGUUUACUUAGUCUUAGUAUUUUCAUAAUGGUUUCAAACACGUAUAAGGAUUAUUAAUUCAUCCAGUUAUCGUGUCAGUUAAACUUAGACCAGUUCAGUAAUCCGAGUCAGUUCCUUUUUUAGUUAAACUUUGUUCAGUCCUAUAAUCAGUGUCAGUUCAGUUAUGAGUAGGAUUCAGCACCGAGCGAACCCAGAGAUGGGGGCAUUACUGUUAGUUUAGGGUUUGACCCUUAGUAGUAAACCCUGAGUUACAGAACUACGUAGCCAGCGUAGAUUUGAGAUGUCUUCUUGCUAGUUUAGGGUUGACAUAUAUCUUAUGAGUGUUCCUAUUAGUUUAGAGUUGACAAGGUGUCUUCUUGCUAGUUUAGAGUUGAACCAGCCAUUUUUAGUACCCAUGGAACGGUACUAGCACCCUUCCAACAGGGUCACAGGUUAGACCCCUAUCAACUCAAAUUUGGGGUAUGUCGGUUAGAUGAUACCUCCCACAGUUUCAGUUUUAGUAAUCAGUCCACUAAUCAAUUCAGUUUUGCUCGACCAUAACAUACAACUUAUUAUUUAUUCAGUUAUUAGAUUGCAGUAUUUCAGUUUACAGACUAUUUUAGAAUCAUGUUAUAUGCUUGGUCAUGCAUUCUCAGAUUUUACAACAUUCACGCAUGCAUAUCAGUUAUUCUGUUACCUCAUGCUACUCAUUCAGUUAGUUGUUACUCAUGCACAUAACCCAUGCAUAACUGCCUAAUCUUAUCUAGCAUACCAGUAAGUUCAAAGUACUCACCGUAUACAUAUUUCUUGCGUUAUGAUGUCUUAUAUCAUAGGUACGAAUGCUCAGGUUCCCCACCGUACUUAGACAUUCCAGUGCAUCAGCAGCAACAAUAGUGGUGUGUCCUCAUAUUUCGAGGACCAGUUACAUUAUUUUAAGCAUUUUCAGUUCAGUAGUCAAUUGGAGUUAGUUGGGGCUUGUCCCAUCAACUCUUAUUCAGUCGGUUUUAGAGACUUUCGGACACUUCAAACGAUUAGUCAGUUUGUCAUUACUUUUAUUAGUUUUCAGGCUGUUGUUUUCUGCUAGUUGUUUUCAGACAUGAUUCAGAAAUAUUUUAGUAUUUAAAAACUUUUGGCGAAUUCAGUUAUUCCACAUAUGUGUAUUUUGUUAUUAUUAUUUAGGGCUCACAGCAGGUACCAAGUCAUGGGUUAGCUUGUGGUCACACGUGACCAUAAGCACCAUAUGGCGUCUAGGGUGUACUCC
rnacentral:lncRNA from 1 species